rnacentral:rRNA from 1 species
UCGGGAAUUUUGGGCAAUGGGCGAAAGCCUGACCCAGCAACGCCGCGUGAAGGAUGAAGUCUCUCGGGAUGUAAACUUCGUAAGAAUAGGAAGAAUAAAUGACGGUACUAUUUGUAAGGUCCGGCUAACUACGUGCCAGCAGCCGCGGUAAUACGUAGGGACCAAGCGUUGUUCGGAUUUACUGGGCGUAAAGGGCGCGUAGGCGGCGUGGUAAGUCACUUGUGAAAUCUCCGAGCUUAACUCGGAACGGUCAAGUGAUACUGCUGUGCUAGAGUACAGAAGGGGCAAUCGGAAUUCUUGGUGUAGCGGUGAAAUGCGUAGAUAUUGGGAAGAACACCAGUGGCGAAGGCGGCUAACUGGUCCGGUACUGACGCUGAGGUGCGAAAGCGUGGGGAGCAAACAGGAUUAGAUACCCCAGUAGUCCCUGAGCGGGCUGGCAAGGCGCAU